rnacentral:tRNA from 1 species
GGCAGUGUAGCAUAGUGGUAAGGAGCAGGACUCAAAAUCGAAAGGUUGCUGGUUUGAUUCCCCGCUGUGG